GUCCUAGCCGUAAACGGUGCUUGCUUGCUGUAAAAGGAAUCGACCCCUUUUGUGGCGCAGCUAACGCGAUAAGCAAGCCGCCUGGGAAGUACGGUCGCAAGAUUAAAACUCAAAGAAAUUGACGGGGACCCGCACAAGCGGUGGAGUAUGUGGCUUAAUUCGAUGCAACGCGAAGAACCUUACCUGGGCUUGACAUGCAAUUGCGAGCCGGCCGAAAAGGCUGGCUGCCUUCGAGGGUAUUGCACAGGUGCUGCAUGGCUGUCGU
rnacentral:rRNA from 1 species